rnacentral:rRNA from 1 species
GAUGAACGCUGGCGGCGUGCCUAAUACAUGCAAGUCGAGCGAACAGACGAGGAGCUUGCUCCUCUGACGUUAGCGGCGGACGGGUGAGUAACACGUGGAUAACCUACCUAUAAGACUGGGAUAACUUCGGGAAACCGGAGCUAAUACCGGAUAAUAUAUUGAACCGCAUGGUUCAAUAGUGAAAGACGGUUUUGCUGUCACUUAUAGAUGGAUCCGCGCCGCAUUAGCUAGUUGGUAAGGUAACGGCUUACCAAGGCAACGAUGCGUAGCCGACCUGAGAGGGUGAUCGGCCACACUGGAACUGAGACACGGUCCAGACUCCUACGGGAGGCAGCAGUAGGGAAUCUUCCGCAAUGGGCGAAAGCCUGACGGAGCAACGCCGCGUGAGUGAUGAAGGUCUUUGGAUCGUAAAACUCUGUUAUUAUGGAAGAACAAAUGUGUAAGUAACUAUGCACGUCUUGACGGUACCUAAUCAGAAAGCCACGGCUAACUACGUG